GGAGGGGGGUUGAAUUGGAUUUAAACCUUUUUCGAAAAUCUUUUUCAAAUCUUUAAAGAGUUCUUAAAACUUGAAAUCAAUACACAAAUAUUAAAUGAAUCAACUAAGUAAAGAAAAUAUAAAAGAAAGAUAAAAAAACACCAAGAUUUAUACUUCUUCAGCUUAUCAAAAGCCUAUAUUCAGUCUUCUCCCAACAACUUGAGUUGAGAGGCUUUCCACUCAAUUGCAAUCCUCACCACCCUCAAAUCAGAUUACUACACAAAUAAGAAAGGAAAAAACUCACCGUCACCCAAUAAAAGAGAUGAAAACCUUCAAUAUCUAACCUGGCUUACUCGCACAGGUGUUACAUAAUGUAGAAACAAUGAUACACUGAUCAAAACACACUCUUCUAGUGGAGAAUUAUCAUUAACAAUAAAUUCCACUUGAUCUUGAAUGAAUCUUUGAA
rnacentral:lncRNA from 1 species